GAACUUAUAACUUUUACCUUAUAAGUAGUCGACUUAUAACCACGUGACUUAUAACCACGUGACUUAUAACCACGUGACUUAUAACUUAUAAGUGACCGACUUAUAACUUAUAAAUUCGGAUUUAUAUGUCGACUUAUAAUUAUAUGUCAUUUGCGCAAACUCUCUAAUGUACAUUUUGUUAUUAAUACCG